rnacentral:lncRNA from 10 species
UGCAACCAUGAGGGAAAUGGGGGUCCCUGAGGGGCAGGGGAGAGACGCUCCCACUUAGCAAGUCUAAGCAGACAUAUCAGGAGUCCUGCUUUCAACAUACUCGUUGCAAAGGAUUGGACUGUAGCUGGGAAGACAAGGUUCCACCACAGGAAGUCUGUGACCUCAUAGUGGCUGAGAAAUCCCUGGGGCCUGGAGCCCCUUCACCAGAAGAGAUGGAAUCAUGGCUGGCUGGACAGCUUCUUCCAAGGAGUUGGUGCCCGGAGUCUAGGUGGGAAGUCAGCAACUGACCAUGCAAGGC